rnacentral:rRNA from 1 species
UACGUAGGGCGCAAGCGUUGUCCGGAAUUAUUGGGCGUAAAGAGCUCGUAGGCGGUUUGUCGCGUCUGCUGUGAAAACCUCAGGCUCAACCUGGGGCUUGCAGUGGGUACGGGCAGACUAGAGUGCGGUAGGGGUGACUGGAAUUCCUGGUGUAGCGGUGGAAUGCGCAGAUAUCAGGAGGAACACCGAUGGCGAAGGCAGGUCACUGGGCCGCAACUGACGCUGAGGAGCGAAAGCGUGGGGGAGCGAACAGG